CUUGAUAUGAAAGUCAUGUUUGAUUUAGAAACUUUAUUUAAAAAUCUAUAGAUGAAUGGAAGGCUUUUAUUUCUGAUUAACUUCUGCCCAAUGGAUGUCAGUUAUGCUAUUUUUAAACGUUUGGCAUUAAGAAACAACAUGCAUUGAAUAGAUGUAGUCGAUGCGAAGAAUUUUGAGAACAAUGAGUGGCAAUAUUGUUAAAAACACAUUAUAAAGACCGUAUUUAGGAGAAUUUAACAUUAUUAUUAUUAUUAUUUUUUGUGUGGUCCCAUUUGAUUUAUGUCACCAGGGAAAUAAAAUAAUGGAUAUGUCAGUCACAAUAAUUCUGCUCCAAACUGUGAGCUGCCACCAGCUACUUCAGCAGCCACUUCUCUGCCGGAAAACUGAUAAUAAAGCUCCUCAUGCCCACUGGUGUUGCUGAAUCUGCAUUUCAGAAGGCAGAGGAUGUGGUGCUUCUGUGGUGGGUGAAGAAGUCGGUGAAGUGGUUCAGAAAUUUCAGGUUUGGUUUGCAGCUCCUGAGCAGAAAGUGAGGAGUGCAGGAUCAGCCAUAAUGAAGAAAGUUAGCCGAAAUUUCAUGAUAUGGAUUUAUAUUGUAAAUGCUUUUUAGCAUUUGUAUUAAGUUAUAUGUUUACCAUUUGCUUAGUUCUUCUAGCCUGAAAGUAUUGAGACCAUAGCAUGUGUCUAUAAUUAAUUAGUUAGACAUAUUUGCUAUUUGUGGUUUCACCUUGUCUUUUUAUUAAAAAUUAAAAUAGGGACAAAUUUUUGUGUGGAGACUGAUGUUUAAAGUUUAUAUAUAUGUAAUCUUGUUUCUAGAGUUUUGCAUUUUAUUUUUGUUAAUUAGUUGGAGCACCAAAUUAUUUUUCAACUUUCUUGGUUGGAAUUCAAUUUGCUAUUAUGACAAUAUGGUUGAAGAUCUACUUACUGCUAUGCUUGAGAAUAUCAAAUAGUUGAUCCAAAAAGAGUUUGGAUUGCUUUGGCGGUGCCAACAGGGAGAUGAAGAAGCUGUCAAGCAUCCUCUCAGCAAUCUGUGUUGUGUUUGAAGAUGCCGAGGAAAGGCAGGAAAAGAGACAGGGCAAUCAAGCGUUGGAUUUAAAUGCUUAAAGAAUGUUGCAGAUGAGUUGGAUGACUUUUUGGAUGGGGGUUCAAUAGAGACAUUCACUACUGGUGUACAAAAGGCAGAGGUUUGGAUAACCCAAAAACUACGUUGUUUCCGUUUAGAAUUCCACAUGUUAAUCUGUGGCCUCAAACUGUGAACAGCCUAUACAAGAAGAAGUUUAGCUAUUUACAUAAAAGUUUGUCUUUUUUUUUCCACUUUAUAUUUAUUUAUUGUUUUUCAAGUGGAAUACUGUUCAUAUUA